rnacentral:lncRNA from 1 species
UACCUUGCUCGAGGCUACAACAGCUGGAGGUGGGAUUCAGAGCAAACCUCCAAGGCAUUCUGUGAACGCAUAUGUGCACUGUGUGUCCAGGGGCGUCUCACACACACAUGCACACAAUGCAUUGUACGUUGUUACACACACACAGUGCAAUGGACCUACAACGAUACACACACACACAGAGAGAGGCGGUUCAGCCGAUCAGAGCUCAAUGAUGUCCACGUCAGUCGGGCUGUGGGCCGGUCGUGGAGACCCACUCAGUGUGUGUGUGUGAGAGAGACAGAGAGAGAGAGACGGGGGGAGCGGAACGUCUCCGUGCGCUCAGUGCUGAGGGGGAGAACCCUGAAGAACACACACACACACACACACACACACACACUCGCGCAUACACACACUCUCUCUCUCACACGCGCAGGCCGCUUUCGGGGACGUCCGCACGAGAAGAAGCGCGAGGACUACAAGCGCGCGGAAGGACGCAGAAGAAGAAGAAGUGAGCGAGUGAACUGCUGCGGAAAGUUCGCGGGCGGACGCGCCGCUCAUUCAUUGCUGGACGGAGGAGAGACGACUGGUGGUGGUGGUGGUGGUCAGGAAGAGUCGCUGUGUGCAAAGAGUGGGAAAGGGCCCUGUUCUGGAAACCUGCACUGAAGAUUGCACCGCUGACACGGGGAGAAGGGUCCUCGUGUGCAGUCCAAAUACUGUAGUUCUUUCACUUGUAGCUUACUGCAAUUCAUUAUAGCAAAAAAUCUUACCUGUGUGAUUUGAGAAUCUGAAGGAGUUUUGAGUUUUUACUGUCACAGCACAGUUUUAUUUAUUUUUUUAUUUUACCAGAACAAAGCAGCAAGUAUGGAGUGCCAUGACACCGACUUGCCUGUUUGUUCUCCGCAUGUCGCCAGUAUCGUAUUUCCAGCCGUGGAAGAAAAAUUGAAAGCAGCUUUCAGAAUUCAUCGUUUGCAAAAUGUAAUUAUAGAUGCAGUCCUAUGAUGCUGAAUUGUAACUCGUUUAUCAAGAUUCCUUGAAGAAGUUUGAGGAACUCUACAUGUGUUUCAGGACAGUAUAGUGUAUAGCUUAGAAGUCAAAAAGGCCCUUUUCUCCAGAACCCAUAAUUGAAACGUUCCUUCAUUUGUCUGAGGUGUUCACUGUGACUCACUUCUAAUCUGCCAUGCUGAGGAGCCUUUUGCUGGAGCUGCAGCGCAGGCCAGGAUUUCUGGCCCCAGUCGAGCUGAGAGUAUUUAGCCUUUAAAUCGAUAUGAGCCUCAGUGUUGGCAGAGACAGACACAUAGGGGUUUGUUUAGCAACAGAAUUUGCUCAGUUUACAGCACUUUAUUGUGUCGGCCCACGUACGCCGACCCACCAGGAGCAGCACCGAGGGCGUCUUCACUGUGGAUACAGAGUCGUCUUCACUGUGGACGAGUGUAACCUGUGAGUCCUGUGGUUCAGACCGGUAUCUGUGUCGCCUAAGGGCAGCAGUACAGAAAAGGGAACAUAACAGAUCAAAUGUGUUUCCUUCCAAAAUGUUGCUGAGACAGAAAAGCCUGUCCUCUGUUUUUUUGCCGAACGAAAAGUAAUUGUUUAAAGUUUUAUUUUUUUUUAAUAAAUGCAGUGGAGUGAUUUAUACA